GUAGAGAAUACCAAGGCGCUUGAGAGAACUCGGGUGAAGGAACUAGGCAAAUGGUGCCGUAACUUCGGGAGAAGGCACGCUGGUGUGUAGGUGAAGUCCCUGCGGAUGGAGCUGAGACCAGUCGAAGAUACCAGCUGGCUAGCAACUGUUUAUUAAAAACACAGCACUGUGCAAACACGAAAGUGGACGUAUACGGUGUGACGCCUGCCCG
rnacentral:rRNA from 1 species